rnacentral:tRNA from 15 species
UGGCCGGGUAGCUCAAUUGGUAGAGCAACAGACUCCACUUCUGUGGUUGCUGGUUCAAGUCCAGCCCCGGCCAU